rnacentral:lncRNA from 1 species
CGUAAUGAAAUUAUUCUUACAUAAAAUUUUAUAAUACAAAUUCAAGACAGUGAAGGAUACACACUUGUAAAAUCGCUUAUGAUUUUACAUGAAAAAAAAGUACAGCUGAAAGAAAAUCUAGCUUCCUACACAUUACCGAGCAUGUUUUGUUUAAAAUACACACAGAACUACAUCCAAAACAAAAGCAGUAUUACGUAGUCUCCAAAUGUCAGGGAACCUAGCCCUAACUGAACACUCCACCCAUGAACAUGGCACUGGUCACAGGAAGGGUUACAUUUUACUCCAGAACACAGGUCUAAUGGAUGAAUGACAGUACCUUAAAGCAACUGGUGACCAUUACACUCUUAUUUUUCUUCAAAGAUGACAACACGGUCACUUUAAAGUUGGCAGGAAGGCUGAUAUUUUAGGAAACUAUGCAUUAUUACGAAAUACUAGAGCUCUGAAUCGUAACAGAAAAGUACUUGGCAGAACAAUUACACAUUACCUGUUUUGUUUUGGUUUUUUGACACUUUCUGAAGAUUAAACACUGAUAUUAAACUGCUGUUGAUGUGGAAAACGGCUUAGUCGAAUGUCUUGAAGCUCUUAAAGAACUGUCAAGGAGGUCAUGGCUUAAUUAUGAGGUGUUCACUUUUCCAAAAAACUAAAAAAAUAACACCACAUGAUCAGUGAAGAAACUAAAUGAAGCAAUGUUAUCAUCUGGUGGACAAAAAUAAAUGC